CUUGCCAUAAAAAAUAGAGGCCCAAAACAGAAAGAUUCUUAGUCCUUCUCCACACUAUAAAUAAAGUGCGCAUGCAUUCUGCAUAUUAGCGCCAAGAGUCCUUCUUAAGUUGGACUCUUAGUUAUUUGGUGUGUACACCAGAUAUGGUGCCUCUUUUUGACUGCUUUCAGGUGGCUUGACCUGACCCAAAUGCUCAUCAAAUUGGACUAGCAAAUAAGUAAGGCAUGAGAUCAAAUUGAUCUCUAAAAGAGCUAGGGAUUCC
rnacentral:lncRNA from 1 species